GCCGGGCAUGCUGGCUCAAGCCUGUAAUCCAGCUACUUGGGAGGCUGAGGCAUGAUAACGCUUAAACCCAGGAGCAGAGGUUGCAGUGACCAAGAUCGUGCACUGCACUCCAGCCUGGAUGACAGAGUGAGACUGUCUGAAAAAACCAAGGCAGACAGGUCUCGCUCUGUCAUCCAGGCUGGAGUGCAGUGCACGAUCUUGGCUGCACUGCAACCUUUGGCCUCUGGGUUCAAGCGAUUAUCAUGCCUAGC
rnacentral:SRP_RNA from 1 species